rnacentral:piRNA from 1 species
UACCCUGGGUGGUCCAGGUAUGCACUGCCGU